rnacentral:rRNA from 1 species
AUGGCCGGAAGGAAGGGCGGCGACAGGAAGAAGGCGGUGACCCGCUCCGUCAAGGCCGGGCUCCAGUUCCCCGUCGGCCGCAUCGGGCGUUACCUCAAGAAGGGCCGCUACGCCCAGCGCGUCGGCUCCGGCGCCCCCGUUUACCUCGCCGCCGUCCUCGAGUACCUCGCCGCGGAGGUCCUGGAGCUUGCCGGCAACGCGGCCAAGGACAACAAGAAGACCCGCAUCAUCCCGCGCCACCUGCUGCUCGCCGUCCGCAACGACCAGGAGCUCGGUAGGCUGCUCGCCGGCGUCACCAUCGCCCACGGCGGCGUGAUCCCCAACAUCAACUCCGUGCUGCUCCCCAAGAAGUCCCCCGCCGCCGCCGAGAAGGAGGCCAAGUCGCCCAAGAAGAAGACCACCGCCAAGUCCCCCAAGAAGAAGGUCGCCGCCAAGGAGUAG